UACAGAGGUCCCAAGCGUUGUUCGGAUUCACUGGGCGUAAAGGGUGCGUAGGCGGGUCUUUAAGUCAGAGGUGAAAUCCGGGAGCUCAACUCCAGAACUGCCUUUGAUACUGAGGAUCUUGAGUUCGGGAGAGGUGAGUGGAACUGCGAGUGUAGAGGUGAAAUUCGUAGAUAUUCGCAAGAACACCAGUGGCGAAGGCGGCUCACUGGCCCGAUACUGACGCUGAGGCACGAAAGCGUGGGGAGCAAACAGG
rnacentral:rRNA from 1 species